UUGUAGUUACUUGCCCUUUAGGAUAGUUUUAGGUGCUAUCAUUAAGUGCCAAAUAUACUGCCUAUGAAGUUGAUUAAUUUACCAAAUAUUUCGCAAACACCCACGUUAUGCAAUAUAAGAUGUGAGGUCCUAUAAGGAUUAAAAAGAUGAGUAAGAUAUAGCCCUUGACUUCAUGUAGCUUGGACUUAAUUUGGAAUAUAAGCAUAUAAGAAUACAUACGGUAGAGAAAUACAAGAUUUAAAAUAAAAAGCUGAGGCUACAAGUGUAUGUCAGAAAGAAAUUUAAGAAAAUAGAAAUUUAAGGAAAUAGAAAUUACUGUAAUUUAGUACUGAAAUAAUUCCUUAAACAAUGUUCAGUGGUAAGGAAGAGGAAGCUCAAAAUGAAUAACAGGAAAAACUACAAGCUGGUUUUCACUCUGCAAGAAUAGUUUCUCUUGUGCUUAUACUCCCCGUCUGUGACUUUUUCAAACCACUGGCCUAAACAAAUGACUCAAAAAUCUAAGAAACGGGUGGACCCAGGCGGAUAGAUUCUGACUCUCCCAGCCUGAGCAAGCCCAUAAAGUCAGGCUUGCCACAAGACUGAUAAUGGGUGCUGUCUAGAACUGGCUUUUGAAGACGGCAGCUUCUUGACUUUCUGUCUCUGUGGCCAGCACUUUCCUCGGGAGUCAGGCUCCAUUAUGGCUCAGCGUGGCACUGCUCCCAGCCCACAGACUGAAGCAGACACCUAAUCACAAUUGCUACCUAACCACGACCUUCUUAUCUCAUUGAGGACUCUGAGAGGCAAGUUUCUCCCUAUUCUUUUAUAGAAACAUAAAAUGCCAGCAAAGCAUGAUUUCUACCCAAAAGAGCGCUAAACAGAGUUUGCAGAUGUUUCAGGCCUCUCCCCUGAUACUUCAGGGGAGAAGGGCACACAGACCUUGGCAUACCUUGCUUCAAAAACAGGCAAUAGCAAACAGCGUGUUCAUUCCACCUACUUCCCAGAAGGGAAGAUCCUUAUGUAAUGGGUCAGAUGGGCCUUUGGUCCCAUGUGGAGAGUCUCCCUGAGGGACUUUUAUAUUACUGUAUCAUGGGGGUUUUGUGGGUAUUCGUUUCUGCAUGUCAAGCACUUCACAGUACACAUUCACAUGGAAAUUACUAAUUAAAAGUAGCAGUGAUAAUAACAUUUAGAGUGCUGUUUUCAUCAAUGGUUUCAUUUUACAUAGGACACCUCCUUUGCUGAAACCAUAGAUUCUAAUUUGCUCUGUCAAAGUUAUCACUAGAAAAAUAAGAUAUUCUUAGCAUGUAAACUAUAGGAAAUUUCCUCUAUUACUCUUCUCCAUUUGAUUUAAUGGACUAUAUGUUACUUUCAACAUAUAAGUUGGGACAUCACAAAAUAAACUGAACCUAUGGCAAAUUUGUUUCUGCAGAAAUCUGUAUUCUUUCUAGUUACCAAAAAACUCAAGAGACCAAGGGGGGAAAGGAAUUAUUUGAAUGGUGGAUAGUGCAUAAGACUUAGAUAUGGUUGCAGUAAUUUAGCAUAAUCCAUUGUAAGGUGAUGGUCUGGACGAACUUCAUAACAGUGAAAAAGUUAGCUUUGAGGUUUUUCCUCUAAUUGAAGGAAUGCUGCUUACUACACCUCCCCCAUAUUGUUAUUUAUUUAUUUAUUUUAAUUUUUAAUUUUUUGGCCUCACCGUGCGGCAUGUGGGAUCUUAGUUCCCCAUCCAGGGAUCGAACCUGCGCCCCCUGCAUUGGAAGCACAGAGUCUUAACCACUGGACUACCAGGGAAGUCCCUUCCCCAUAUUUUUAGAUUAAUGUCUUUACCAGAGAAGUGAAACACACUGGGAUUACAUAUCCUUGUCUAGUAAGAAGUCUGACUACUCCAAGACCACCAUGUGGUGAGGGAUGUCUAGCCAGACCCAGAUGUUCCAGCCUUUGCAGACCAGGCACCUGACAUAGGAGUGAAGAAGCCACUGUGGACAUUCCAGCCUCAGGAGACGUGACAUGGAGAGGAGCCCAUCCAGCAGCCAGGACAGACACUCCAGCUGUGUGGCCCUGUGUGAGCCAUCUUGGCCAUGUCCAGUUGCUAGAUCCACUCCCGCUGAGGCCCCAGCUGUCCUGGAAAAGGGAUGAGCAGUCCCCACUGUGCCCUGCCUCACCCAUAAAAUUGUGAGUGUUAGAAAAUGACUGUUGUUGUUUAAAAAUGCUGCAGGGGAACAGAAACUAGAAGCAGAGGCAUAAAAGAGAAUAGAGAAGACUGAAAAAUAAAAAAUAAUUAUAACAGUUUUCAAAUUGUGAUUGUUGGUGCUCUCAAUUCAACUUUUUCAUUCAUUUAUCUGUUCAUUCAAGAAAAGUGUAUCGAGACCGCCACAAGCUAGGUAUUAUACUUAGUGCCAGGGAUACCAAAAAGCUGAAUAAAAUAGCUCUGUCCUCAGGGGAGUGGCUAGCUUAAUGAGGGUGUCAAACAAUCGCCACACAAUGUGAUACAAGGCUGCUUUACAGAAGGAACUCAUGCACUGAAGAUGUAGGAUCUCACAGCCUUGAGGGAGUCAGAGAAUCAGUGCCCAGGAGGACAUGCUUGAGUUAAGCCUCAAAGAAUGAGUAGAGGUUUACCAGAGGGCCAAGGUGGGACAGAGCAAACCGGUUGCAAAGAACAGGGUAGACUCAUUUUGGACAUUGGCUUCAGCUGCUUCUGUGGUCUCAGCUUUUCUUUGCCUCUCCUGGGCAAAGCAUUGAUUGCAUAAACAAAGUAUUAUUUUCAGAGGAGUAUUUGAUUUUAUCUACGUAGUAAGUACAACUGGAAUGAAACAACUCAUGGGGUGUAUGGCAUUACUCAACCUAGGCUCAUCAAAUGAGCACCCUACAGAGGCCAGGUCUAGUCGCUAGAAGGGACAAGGCCUUACCCGCCCCCCAAAUGUAACCUAAGUCGUUGGGUUUUUCUCCAAGUGUUCUUUCUAUUCAAAUAUAACUCUUAAGGCAAGUUCCCUGGCCCCUACCUCCAUCCAGUUUGCUGUCCUAAUCCCUUCUGAUAGAAAAGUUCUAGAGGUACUUCAGGGUGGAUGCCAUGCUAUGUGUAUAAAAAUCGAUUUGUCUCCAGAACAGGAUAAUAGGGCCAUCAUGAGAAAAAAUUCAUGUCCUAAAGUCUAUGAUCUUUGUUUCUAGGAGGCAAACCUGGUUAAAAAGACAUUUUCAAACUUUUCCGUGCUGUCAAGUUUAAUGAAACUCCUCCUUCUAAUAUCAACUUCAUUUGAGGAAGCUGCUGUCAAAAAGGCUACUAGGAGAUACUGAGGGGAACACGUUAAAUCAUUGCAAGAAAAUGGUUCUAACUUCAGUAAGGCAACUUUAAGAGAAUAAAACUGAAAUAUCUUAAAUGUACCAAGAUGUCACACAAGGGAAACAAAUGGAAAUAUGGAAAUGCUGGGAGGAAAGGCACAUUGGCAUGAUUAAGAAAAAUACAAUUGAAAGCAUCUAAUGUGUUUUUUUUUAAACACUCUGCCUUGUUCUGAGUGGAUUUGGCAGUGAGUUAUUUCCUGGGCAAGUGUAGAGGGGAGCUCUCUUAUGAAACUAGUUAAGUGCAGACCACAUGCUUUUACAGUCUUUGGAGCUGGGAGUAGAGCUGGCAUCUGCUUUAGAAAACCAGGAGAGAAAGGCACUUCCACCCCCACUUGGAGGUGAUUGAAGGAAGCACUAACAGUGGGCUGAGAAAGAUUUUAGAUUUCCUGUAACACUUAGACAAAUGGAAGUAAAUAAACCAUUAAAUGGCAGAGAAAAAUAACCGUCCCAAGAAGGCAAAAGGAAACCCCUAGUCUCUCUUAAAACUGCAGCCUUUUUCCUAGAACUUGUCUCAGAAAGUUUGUCUCUGAUGUUUGCUUUGGAAUUGUAGCCACAGGGGACGUUUGGGGCCAGAACUGACCUGUCCAGUGAGCAUUAAUUGCCCUGAUGGUAUGGUAAAUUAACACCUUUUCAGGUUUUUUUUAGAGCAUUAUUUCAACUAAAUUCGCAUUCUCAUCUCAACGGACUUACUUGGCAGAAAGAAACCUAGAUGUUGUGAGAAGAGAGAAGAUGGGAGAAGAGUUCAGAAGGAGUAGAAAAAGACACAUAGAAGAGACACUGGGUAGUUUACUACAAUGGUACUGACUAUACCAGUACCAUUGAAUGCUCUACUUACUAAAAAAAUCCGGAUUAUAAUGUUCUGAAGUUGGGAAUGAGAGAAGUCAAGUUGUUCCACAUCAAAUCAGAUUGUUCGUUACAGAGAGUGCUUUCAAUAUCCAGUUUCAAUAUCUAGUUCUUCCUUCUGCAUUAGUCACUCAGCUAUACGAUUACAUUUUCUGAGCCUCCCUUGCAGCUCUGUGUGGCCAUGUGACUAAGCUUUAAACCAAUGAUAUGUAAGCACUGUACUAUGUGGAUCUUCUGAAAAAUCUCCCUUCUCCUCCUUCACCCUACUGUCUGGAAUGAAGUCACAAUAGCUGGAGACCAAUAACCAUCCUGGGCCGUGAGUUUGAGAUGUGAUGGAGAAGACUGUCUGUUGACUCCCCUAUUAGAAGAUAAAUUUCAUGAGAACAGGGACCUUGUUUUUCUUGGUCAAAGCAACAUUCUCUGAACCUAAAAAGUGUGGCCUGUGGUAAGGGCUCGGGUAUUGAACAGCUACUGAAUGAAUAAGAUGAAUGAAUGAAGUUUACUCCAGAUCCGUGUAAAACACUAAUCAUAAAGUUCUCCCAGGGAAUGUUCAGCCAUCAGUAGGCAUAUGCAAGGUGUCAGAUUCUAUCACAGAAUCAAACUCUUGCUUAAUUCAAACCACAUUACUUCUCUUUGCUUCCUUUUGCUCUCCCAGACUUGCCACUGUCAUAAAAGGAUAGUUUUUUCUUACUGCCUUCCAGUGUUCUAUUAAAACAAAAUAUUUUCAAAUCUGUUUUCAUAACGAUGCUUCCUAGUAUUUUUUUCUGCUUAGCAAGUUAAAAAUUCUUUAAUUUUCAAGGUCACACCUACCUAUUUUUGUAUGCGUCUGCCGUUAAAUGCAGACACUAUUUUGAAACGAUCUUAGGCGUUGUCUCAAGUCUACAAGAAUCAUCCAAAAUGGCAUCUAAUGACAUUCCUAGGACUUCAGACAAUAUUAUUAUUGUCAUGGAAUGUAGUCACUACGUCCUAAGGAUUUAACAAGAUGUUGUUUACUGAAACUGAACUUCAUUGAAUCCUUUCCCCUUCCACCGUGGUUUCCCACAUUUCAAUCUGUUGCCUGUUUUUGUCCCCAAACC